UACGUAGGGGGCAAGCGUUGUCCGGAAUUAUUGGGCGUAAAGAGCGUGUAGGCGGUCCGGUAAGUCAGCUGUGAAAGUCAAGGGCUCAACCCUUGAAAGCCGGUUGAUACUGUCGGGCUAGAGUCCGGAAGAGGCGAGUGGAAUUCCCGGUGUAGCGGUGAAAUUCGUAGAUAUCGGGAGGAACACCAGUGGCGAAGGCGACUACCUGGCCCAUUCUUGACGCUGAGGCGCGAAAGCUAGGGGAGCGAACGGG
rnacentral:rRNA from 1 species